rnacentral:tRNA from 1 species
GGGCUGGUAGCUCAGUUGGUUAGAGCACCACUAUAUAUAGGCAAAGGUCCUGGGUUCAAUCCCCGGCUGGUCCA